rnacentral:rRNA from 1 species
GAUGAACGCUAGCGGCAGGCCUAACACAUGCAAGUCGAGGGGUAGGAAGAGCUUGCUUUUCUGAGACCGGCGCACGGGUGCGUAACGCGUAUACAAUCUACCUUGUACAGGGGGAUAGCCCAGAGAAAUUUGGAUUAAUACCUCAUAGUGUUAUUGAGUGGCAUCACAUGAUAACUAAAGUUCCAACGGUACAAGAUGAGUAUGCGUCCCAUUAGUUAGAUGGUAAGGUAACGGCUUACCAUGACAAUGAUGGGUAGGGGUCCUGAGAGGGAGAUCCUCCACACUGGUACUGAGACACGGACCAGACUCCUACGGGAGGCAGCAGUGAGGAAUAUUGGACAAUGGGGGCAACCCUGAUCCAGCCAUGCCGCGUGCAGGAUGACGGUCCUAUGGAUUGUAAACUGCUUUUAUACAGGAAGAACCCCUUCUUUGCGAAGAAGACUGACGGUACUGUAAGAAUAAGGAUCGGCUAACUCCGUGCCAGCAGCCGCGGUAAAAC